ACAAGAAUCUGACGACGGAAUGAUCUCGUCAACGGCUAAACUGUUACCUGGACAGUGAGAAAUGGAUAAAAAGACGUUGGUGAAGCCGCACCGCCAUGCUAACAUGCUAAACCCUGAAGUUCGAUGGUUCACAAAAGGACGUCUGUUGAUUCCGGUAAAUGCUGGACUAUCAGGUACCGGCAUUAUUUGCCAGCGUAUAAAAGGCUGGAAAGUGAGGACCGGAAGGAGAGGGGGCGUGUCGUUUGCACGUUGUGCUUUGUUCAAGCGUGUGUGUGUUUGAAGUUUGGAAACGGUCUCUGUUUGAUAGAGAUUGUGUGUUUUCUUUAGGUUAGAUUGUUGUGUAAUUUGAUAUACUUUAUCGGUCUAAUCGUUUUCGUUCUUUUUUACAGAGUUUGCUUAGAAAUGGUUUUCUUUUUUGUUGUGGUUUUCGUAAUGAUUCUAAUUUCUAUCAAUAA